AUGGGGGUGGGUCUUUCCCAUGCCAUAAUCAUGAUAGUGAGUAAGUCUCAUGAGAUACGAUGGUUUUACAAGGGGGAUUUUCCCUGCACAAAUUCUCUCUUGCUGCCACCUUGUAAGAAGUGCCUUUUACAUUCCACCAUGACUGUGAAGUCUCCCCAGCCACAUGGAACUGAUAAGGAUGCUGCUGGCUUAGCUUCAAGAGGCUCUUCUGUCUCACAAAUGGAGCUUCCUGAUCCAACUGAAGACCGCAGUCAGGGGUCUUGGAGGGCCACACUGCAGAGGCUCUGGGUCAGAUGGUACAAGUUCAGACUGUGGAGCCAAAUACCGAAGUCCAGUUCAUUAUCUGUCUUUAGGAAUAGCACUAAACUAUUGCUGAACAGAGAUGUGGACACUGGAGUGAAAUGGACCGUGAGGUCCUUACUCAUGAAGGAAGAAACUCACUGGUCAGUGUGUUUCUCACAGCUCCUGAUUCAAGCCAUUUAAUCCCAGUUCUCAAAGAGGAAGGCAAGGCUGCUAAGCGAGGGACAGGCUGUGUAGUGUGAUGGGGCCCCUACAGGUUACUUAAACAGGUUUGUCUGCUGCCUGAACCCGGAAGGCCAGGUGGUGAGCCACGGCCAUGGUGCCCAGCUGAAGAGCAGGUGACCCUGAGAAUUCAAAUAUUCUGGAGAGAAUUUGAAAACCUACCAAGAAACACAGUAUCAUUGUUCAAACACAGUCGGCAAAGAGCCAGAAAAUUAACUUAAAAGCCAUUCACGGAAGGAGGCGCAGAUUUCUAGAGCUGUCCUGCCUCCCUCCACUAGUACCCCGUAUGUAAGUUCUAAUAAACUCAGCUACUCACUAUGUUGUGCUGGUCCA
rnacentral:lncRNA from 13 species